rnacentral:rRNA from 1 species
AUGUUGGUUUAAUUCGACGCUACGACGAACGUAACCUUACCAGGUCUUGACAUCCCGAUGCUAUUUCUAGAGAUAGAAGUUACUUCGGUACAUCGGUGACAGGUGGUGCAUGGUUGUCGUCAGCUCGUGUCGUGAGAUGUUGGGUUAAGUCCCGCAACGAGCGCAACCCCUAUUGUUAGUUGCCAUCAUUCAGUUGGGCACUCUAGCGAGACUGCCGGUAAUAAACCGGAGGAAGGUGGGGAUGACGUCAAAUCAUCAUGCCCCUUAUGACCUGGGCUACACACGUGCUACAAUGGUUGGUACAACGAGUUGCGAGUCGGUGACGGCGAGCUAAUCUCUUAAAGCCAAUCUCAGUUCGGAUUGUAGGCUGCAACUCGCCUACAUGAAGUCGGAAUCGCUAGUAAUCGCGGAUCAGCACGCCGCGGUGAAUACGUUCCCGGGCCUU